rfam:Gossypium raimondii chromosome 5, whole genome shotgun sequence.
AUUCCAAGAUGAAGGCAUCUUAGUAAUAGUUCUUUAAAUCUUUCCCACGUCUCAUACAAGGACUCAUCAUCCAUCUGCUGUAAGGAAGUGAUCUCAUUCCGCAACU